rnacentral:rRNA from 1 species
AGUGAACGCUGGCGGUAGGCCUAACACAUGCAAGUCGAACGGCAGCACAGUAAGAGCUUGCUCUUACGGGUGGCGAGUGGCGGACGGGUGAGGAAUACAUCGGAAUCUACUUUUUCGUGGGGGAUAACGUAGGGAAACUUACGCUAAUACCGCAUACGACCUACGGGUGAAAGCAGGGGAUCUUCGGACCUUGCGCGAUUGAAUGAGCCGAUGUCGGAUUAGCUAGUUGGCGGGGUAAAGGCCCACCAAGGCGACGAUCCGUAGCUGGUCUCAGAGGAUGAUCAGCCACACUGGAACUGAGACACGGUCCAGACGCCUACGGGAGGCAGCAGUGGGGAAUAUUGGACAAUGGGCGCAAGACUGAUCCAGCCAUACCGCGUGGGUGAAGAAGGCCUUCGGGUUGUAAAGCCCUUUUGUUGGGAAAGAAAAGCAGCAGGUUAAUACCCCGCUGUUCUGACGGUACCCAAAGAAUAAGCACCGGCUAACUUCGUG